GUACUUGCUUCGGCAGUACAUUUACUAAAAUUUUGGAACGAUACAGAGAAGAUUAGCAUGGUCCCUGCGCAAGGAUGACACCUAUCCCCUGCACUAAGCAGACCCGAUAUCU